CUUGUGUGUGUGAUUCCCAUCCAGGAACUGGGAAAGCGAGCAAAUCAGUGUCACUCCUGCAACACAAUACAAUUCAUACGACUGCUUCCUUUCCCGCAUCCCUGUGGUCCUUUACGGACUACAAUAAAGGGACCGACUUGGUCAAGUCAGGGUUCAACUUAAAGCAUGGCACGGUUAGCUCUCAGCUGCCAGCCGGUCUCCAGCUAAGCAGAGAGCCCCAGCAAGCCAGGGGAGAAAAUGCUGCAAGCCAAGUACAAUACGCGCUGGAAGGAAGAGGGACCAGAGCUUACCAUUGCAGCAAGGAUCCGUCCCAAUAUUGGAGAUGCAUUCUUCACCUUCCCAGGAUCUUCCUUUUGCUGGCCCUGCACACUUGCAGAGAUAUAUGGGAAAUAAGCAAACAUGAUGUAAUGGUUACAGCACAGGACUUUGAGUUACUAG